rnacentral:lncRNA from 1 species
CAUCGUCAUAAUUGUGUGUGCUGUUCUCAUCGUUCUUGGCCUAGUAUUUUUUCUGGUCUGGAGAAAGUGUUCCUUUUCUGAACGUCCGCUGCCCAGAUCUUUGGCUUUACUUCGAGACCUGGAACUUCAGAAUGAGACUUUCAUUGACUCCAGUAAGGUUGCACCACACAACAAGA